CGUUACCACACUGACUCACAGCAGUCUGGUGCAUCGUUACCACACUGACUCACAGCAGUCUGGUCCAUCGUUAACACACUGACUCACUGCAGUCUGGUCCAUCGUUACCACACUGACUCACAGCAGUCUGGUCCAUCGUUAACACACUGACUCACAGCAGUCUGGUCCAUCGUUACCACACUGACUCAUAGCAGUCUGGUGCAUCGUUAACACAUUGACUCACAGCAGUCUGGUCCAUCGUUACCACACUGACUCACUGCAGUCUGGUCCAUCGUUACCACACUGACUCACAGCAGUCUGGUCCAUCGUUAACACACUGACUCACAGCAGUCUGGUCCAUCGUUAACAUACUGACUCACAGCAGUCUGGUCCAUCGUUACCACACUGACUCACAGCAGUCUGGUCCAUCGUUACCACACUGACUCACAGCAGUCUGGUCCAUCGUUACCACAUUGACUCACAGCAGUCUGGUCCGUCGUUACCACACUGACUCACAGCAGUCUGGUGCGUCGUUACCACACUGACUCACAGCAGUCAGGUCCAUCGUUACCACACUGACUCACAGCAGUCUGGUCCGUCGUUACCACACUGACUCACAGCAGUCUGGUGCGUCGUUACCACACUGACUCACAGCAGUCUGGUCCAUCGUUACCACACUGACUCACAGCAGUCUGGUGCAUCGUUACCACACUGACUCACAGCAGUCUGGUCCAUCGUUACCACACUGACUCAUAGCAGUCUGGUCCAUCGUUACCACACUGACUCACAGCAGUCUAGUGCAUCGUUACCACACUGACUCACAGCAGUCUGGUCCAUCGUUACCACAAUGACUAAUAGCUGUCUGGUCCAUCGUUACCACACUGACUCACAGCAGUCUGGUCCAUCGUUACCACACUGACUCACAGCAGUCUGGCGCAUCGUUACCACACUGACUCACAGCAGUCUGGUGCAUCGUUCGUUACCACACUGACUCACAGCAGUCUGGUCCAUCGUUCGUUACCACACUGACUCACAGCAGUCUGGUCCAUCGUUACCACACUGACUCACAGCAGUCUGGUGCGUCGUUACCACACUGACUCACAGCAGUCUGGUCCAUCGUUACCACACUGACUCACAGCAGUCUGGUGCAUCGUUACCACACUGACUCACAGCAGUCUGGUCCAUCGUUAACACACUGACUCACUGCAGUCUGGUCCAUCGUUACCACACUGACUCACAGCAGUCUGGUCCAUCGUUAACACACUGACUCACAGCAGUCUGGUCCAUCGUUACCACACUGACU
rnacentral:lncRNA from 1 species